rnacentral:rRNA from 1 species
GACGUAGGGGGCAAGCGUUGUUCGGAAUUACUGGGCGUAAAGGGCGCGUAGGCGGCGCGGGUAGUCAUCGGUGAAAGUUCAGGGCUCAACUCUGAAUCGGCCGGUGAUACUCCCGUGCUCGAGCACUGUAGAGGCAGGUGGAAUUCCGGGUGUAGCGGUGGAAUGCGUAGAGAUCCGGAAGAACACCGGUGGCGAAGGCGGCCUGCUGGGCAGUAGCUGACGCUGAUGCGCGACAGCGUGGGGAGCAAACAGG